CUGAGGAAAGACGAGAGCAUGAUCUCCCAUUUCCACUCAGGGAAACUGUUCUCCUUGACAUGUUCAGGGGCGGGAAGGUAAUAUCGUCCACGCACAAAGAGUUCGGAUGGGUGGUUUGGCCCAAGGGUGGAACAUAUUGUGCCUGUCGUCAAAUAGUUGGACUACACGAACAUACUUGCAGGUGAGGCAGCUGGAGCAUCAGCAUCCAUCUCGGGACCAUCACGGAAAGACCAAGAGAGUGGGAGAUCCUGACAUCCAUGGGCCUCGGUGCCGAUGCCAGCAACGAACACCUGCGCUACCUCCAGACUCUUCCACGAGACAAAUCCAUCUCCAAUAUCCAUCGUCCAACACUAUCACACUGGGGAUUAAAGCUUCAACAUAUGGGUGGGGGUCAGUGCGCAAACACGGGGAGCAGCCACUAUUUUAGUAACACACCCGCCGUGAUCGGUAGACUGCCCCCGUCCCGUGUCAGGAGUCUGGGCUGGGUUGCCAAGAACCCUCACUUCCUUUCUUCACUAGUAGUUCCUUCUCUCUCUCUUCUUUCCUAAAGAAGUUUUACGUUAAUAGGGAGAAGGAUCUUGCACCCUCUCUAGGACACCACGAUCAUCUCUCAAAGAACAAAAAAAAUAGAAGCUAUGGGGACGCAGACUUCAGCUCUCUCUAUCAAAGACUCCUCUGUCCGGGCUCCCCAAGUGUCACACAAGCUUAAUUAAAGCACUUUGCACCUGACCGUGAAGAACUUGUGUGCCAUCUUUGUGAUGAACACCCCACCCCUCCCACGCCACGUGUGCGGCGCGGACGCUGUUCUUUCCUGGGUGUGAAGGAGGCUUUGGAAAGAAGUGAAACCCUGAGGCCGAAGGUGGGACAGCUUGCUCUUUGGAGACAAGAGCAAAGAUGGAAGGAGGCUGGUGAGUACAGGAGGGAGGGCACUGAGCUCCUGCAGAUGGGAGCUGGACGUGGGGCGAUCACGGAGCCGAGUAAGAUUCAGUCCCUGGAAAAGAACCUGUAUGUAGAGACCUGCAGCUCGGGGGACCAGGUGAGCGUCCGGCUCAGGGUUCUGGAGAAGACGGGAGACCGGGGUCAGCCUGUCCCCGGGACAAGAUGUAUUUCCUUAUGCCCUUGAAGCGGAAAAUGCUCGCUCGAGGGCGCAGAAGCACCUGGGGAGGAGCACACACGCUUCCGUCUAACACUGCCCCGCGCCACCUGCAGCAGGUGAGUGGGGACUGCUCACCUGUACGGGGACGCUGGCCUUCGGUGACUCUGGCCACCUUGGCCCGGUGUGACACUCCCAAUGACUCAUCACAAAGACGGGUCCUGGAGGGCCUAGGGGGCCGGGCUGUGCUCCCAGGCCCUCGGGCCAGGCAGGUGGGCGACUAGCCCAGGUCCCCGGCUGCCUAACCGCGCUCUCCUUGACGGCCAGCACCGCUGUCCCUGGCAGUGGUCCCCACGGUCCCGAGGUCCCCCGACUCCGCUACGCAUGGCCCGGGUACCAUCCAAGGUGCAAGGGCCCCGAUGCCCUCUCAGGCUCUUGAGCCUCUGCUCAACUCUUGGGGUUUGUCCACGCAGGCCGCAGGUGGUUGGAGAGAGGCAUCCUUCCCCGCUGGGUCCCCCGUGCCCCCAGCACCCAGUCCCCGGGCCGCUGCCUCCAACCCAGCAGGGCUCCAAGGAAACAGGAACCCCACGGCCUGCUUCGCCUGGGCUCCCCUCAGCUGG